GACAGAGGAUGCAAGCGUUAUCCGGAAUGAUUGGGCGUAAAGCGUCUGUAGGUGGCUUUUUAAGUCCGCCGUCAAAUCCCAGGGCUCAACCCUGGACAGGCGGUGGAAACUACCAAGCUGGAGUACGGUAGGGGCAGGAGGGAAUUUCCGGGUGGAGCGGUGAAAUGCGUAGAGAUCGGAAAGAACACCAACGGCGAAAGCAAUCCCCUGGACCUGUACUGACGCUCAUGCACGAAAGCGUGGGGAGCAAACAGG
rnacentral:rRNA from 1 species